GUCCCUGUGCCAGAAUUGCUUGUUCAGACAGAAUGUGGAAAGUGGAUAAAAGAGACGAGACCAAGUGUAGUGAGUCCAAUACAUGCUACUACAAAGUCUUGAUUCUGCUGUGCCUCAGGAUGUUUGGGUGGCAUUUGAGAUACAUACCCAGC